rnacentral:rRNA from 1 species
CCUACGGGUGGCAGCAGUGGGGAAUAUUGGGCAAUGGGCGCAAGCCUGACCCAGCAACGCCGCGUGAAGGAAGAAGGCUUUCGGGUUGUAAACUUCUUUUAACAGGGAAGAGCAGAAGACGGUACCUCUUGAAUAAGCCACGGCUAACUACGUGCCAGCAGCCGCGGUAAUACGUAGGUGGCAAGCGUUGUCCGGAUUUACUGGGUGUAAAGGGCGUGCAGCCGGGAAGACAAGUCAGAUGGGAAAUCCCGGGGCUCAACCGCGGAACUGCAUUUGAAACUGUUUGUCGUGAGUACCGGAGAGGUCAUCGGAAUUCCUUGUGUAGCGGUGAAAUGCGUAGAUAUAAGGAAGAACACCAGUGGCGAAGGCGGCUGACUGGACGGCAACUGACGGUGAGGCGCGAAAGCGUGGGGAGCAAACAGGAUUAGAUACCCCAGUAGUC